rnacentral:rRNA from 1 species
UACGGAGGGGGCUAGCGUUGUUCGGAAUUACUGGGCGUAAAGCGUGCGCAGGCGGUGAUGUAAGACAGGUGUGAAAUCCCCGGGCUUAACCUGGGAACUGCAUUUGUGACUGCAUCGCUGGAGUGCGGCAGAGGGGGAUGGAAUUCCGCGUGUAGCAGUGAAAUGCGUAGAUAUGCGGAGGAACACCGAUGGCGAAGGCAAUCCCCUGGGCCUGCACUGACGCUCAUGCACGAAAGCGUGGGGAGCAAACAGG